GGGAGGGCGCGAGGGCGCGGGUCUGCGCGCCGGGCCGCUCGGCGCGCUCGGCAAUCGAUUACAGGACAAGUGCGGCCCCGGCGGCGCGGCGGCGCGCGCCUGGCCUCGCGCGUCCCCCCCACCCCAACCCCCGCGCGCGCCCGGGCUCGUCGCUCCCCGCACCCCCGCACUCCCGCCCCCGGCGGACCCCGCCCCCCCCAGGGGCCACCAGGCGGUGGUGAUCUUCGCUUUGAAGUGGUGUUCUCUUAAGUGAGAUGUGGAACAAUGGGCUCACUUUCUCCUGUCGACCUAGAUCGGCACUGUGAAGAAGCAAGGAAGCCCGAAUGGGAAACAUAGUUUCAAAGAAAACAUUCUAAGAUACCACAUCCAGGUCAUAAAUAAAGCAUAUUAAUACCUCA